GAAUGCAGCCCUUGGCGUCGGGACAGGAGCUGAUGUUCCCGGCUCGGGCUGAAGAAUGUGGACACGGCGUUCGCUCCCAACUCGGCCCCAGCGUUCGUUCACCCGUGCGAGGGGAACGCCGGGACCUCGGCCCUCGCUGGAAAAAAUAAUGUGUUGCCAUGGCAACACGCUCCGAAACUUUUGAUGGCUUCAAGACGUGCCAGGAGUUGCAGGGCAGGCGAUCACGAUCACGGUGGAGGGGGCUCCCCAGAGCUUCCCAAAAACAGGGUGAGCGCCCUGCGGCAGCACAGGGCACCCACCGGCCUGGCCCCCUUCCCUCUGCAGGCACAGCAGCGCUUGCAAAUUUGCUUGCAUGUACCAUGGGAUCACGAGGCCAGGCGUGGUAUUACUUCAUGCUGGAGCCGAUGCAGAAAGGCAAAAAAAAUAAUAAUAAAUAAAAUAAAAAAAUAAAGCAUCGUGCUUUAAGGCUGUAAAAAUGUGGGUGGGAAUAUUUUCCAGUGCGUGUCAUUUUCCGCCGAGGCCAAAAUCUGCGUUUUGCUGCUCGCUGUUGGUGUUUUUGUCCCUGCAAGUUGGUUUUUCUCUAAAGGUGCUGCUGCUCCUUUCUGUUGCCCCACACCGCCAGCAUCCCAUGCCCCGCGAGGCAUCCGAGGCUCCCACUCCCUGCCCUUCGCUGCACAACAGCUGGCAGAUAACCGCGACUCCCCUGCCCUGCAGCUGCUCACAAGACAAGUCCUUCUCUCCUUACCUGCCUGUUCACCACCUGCUCUCUGGCUUUUGGUGCAAGAAGAGCCAACAGAGCUCCUCCGAGCACAGAAAAGCAAAGUGUGUUGAUCUCAAAGGCCCUUCCAACCCAAACCAAGCUCCGAGCUCAUGUCCGGCUGGUGCUCGCCUGUCCCAGCUCUUGGCUCAGAAACACAAGUGUGCCAAAACCCAGCUGGAGCAUGGAGGGAAAGCACGGCACCUCGGCACAAGGAGCUCACAGAGGGAAGGAUGGCAUGGCAUGGCAUGGCAUGGCAUGGGGAGAUCCCAGCCUUCGCUCCUUGGCUGGAGGUGAGGGUAGAGGAGCACAGCUCCAAAGCAUCAGCUUGCAGUGAUACAGGCUUCAGCUUUUUCAGAGUCAGAAAAGUCGAGGGAAGCAAUCCCCCACUGUGACAAAGUUCCAGGAGACCUCAUACAUUCAAUUUCAGGCGUCAGUAGUUAAAAAUUCCCCUCCCGUCAUUCCGCCCGAAGCCAAUUACUUUCCCUACAUUUCAUGCAAAACAUUUCUGUAAUUUUCCUAAGCAUGAGAACAGUGAAAAAUGCAUACUUUCUCUUUGAUCGACAAACAAAAAUUCUUACACAUUUGUGGUUUUGGAGAGUUUUCGCUCUAAAGUGGAAAGGGAAGUGCCGCUGCAUAGGGACAAGGGGACGCUGUGCAGGGACAAAGCGCCCCCCGAAGCAAAGCCCCCGGUGUUUGUGCACGUCUGUGGGGAGCCCAGCAGCAUUUUUCAUGCUUGCGUAUGGUGGGACGGGAGGUGGGGUGCAACCAAAAUAUGCUGAGCCUAGCUGAGAAGCCAGGGAAAGAAAUUACCGCUGCUCCUGGCUGCGUCAGAGCCAUGCUACCUGUCCAGAUGUCAUCCUGUCCAUCCCGACGAGGCCGUUUGUCCAGGCAGCGCUGGCGUCGGGGCUGCUCUGCCCCUACAAUGCCACCGCUCUGCAAAGCAUCUCCAGACACCCCAUGCAGAUGCCAGCAUGUUCUGCAUCUCUUACAGGCUGCCAGCCUGGUACCACAACGUCUUUUGGGCUGCUUUUGGUUGUUUUAUAGCCUGGAAGUAGCAUCCAGGCAGAAAAACACGACUGUCCCCAUUUCUCUGAAGUUUCCGGACAGGGGCACACGUUCCUCCUGCUCGCAGCCCCACAGAGCUCUCAGCCUGUCCUGCUCCAGCAAAAUCCUGCGAGCUGAACACAAAGCCCUGCUCCAGCUGUAGUCGAAAUGGAAAUUUUCCAUUUCCAUAUUUUCAAUGUCACGUUGGAAAAUGAGAAGCUUCAGAAAGCAGCCCCUGCCUAUUUAUUGAAAUAAAUGAGGAAAUAAAGAGGUGUUUUGGGCCGGAGACAACUCCAGCACUGCUGGGGGCAGUGGGCAUGGCGUUUAGCUAAAGGAACACACGUUUCCCUAAAAUCAUUUCUCACAUUUUUCCCUUCCCUUGCUCCGAGUGUGAGCGCUGCGCAGGGGAGGGAUGCCCGAACCCAGGCUGAUUUCACAGCCCCUCAUAACGAAGCAGGAGCUUGAAAUUAUUGUGCAGGAGCUUCUGGCUUCAAACCUGUUCGAAAUCCACUCAGGUCUCCCACAGACCUGCUCAGGGAGGUCUCUGAAGGAGACCGAGGAGCUCUGACAGUGGAAUCCCCCCUAGGAGAAGCCACGUCCCCAGGCUGCCUCCUCGCCCCUUGUCCUUCGGCUUCAGCCAUUCUGAUGGCCGGGGGGGACCCGUCGCUGUGCCCAGCUCAGCUUUCAAGCAGUGGCUGAGGUUGGGGGUACCCCUGGGUCCUUCUGGUCCCCCCGGGGCUCCCCGCAGCAUCCCCAUGCGGGCACAAAACCGGGCACCGAGCUCGCCCACCGGCCGGGCUUGUCAAGGUCACGGAGGUGGUGGGAAGGAAAGAGAAGGGAGAGCAAGGGGGGAGAGAAAAAAAAAAAAAAAAAGUUGACUCAGAAACCACAGGGAAUUUUUUGCCUUUUUAGAAUACUGGGAAGAGAAAAAAUAGCCACAGUUAUUCAAAGCAUCCCGGAUAAUCACAGCCUGUUUACUGUUUGCAUGCAAAGAUGGCAGGCAGGCAGCGCGGCGCGGGGACGAGGAAUGAGGAAUUCGCCCGGCUCGCUCUGGCCGCUUCUGCUUGGCCCCAAAAAGCCAUCGGCCGCCGUCCCUCACAGCAGUACAGGAGGAAGAGGAGAAAGGCCAGGGGCUGGGGAGGAAGGAGAAGCCCCAGGGUCGGGAGGAACGGGAGCAGGGCAGAGCUGGCACGGCGGGGAGAGCUUCAUUCCUGCCGGCCCCCGGAGCAAGCCGGGACUUGAGAUGGAGCCGAUGGCGCGCUCUGCCCGACUGGUUUGCUGAGAAGCUGCAGCGCCUGGCAGCUCGCCCCUGCCCAGCCUCCUCCAAAUCUUCCCCCAGAAAAAUGGGGACUAGCUGGAAGACGGGCGAAAUUCCCUCUCUGCCUAAUCCUGGUGGGAAGCCGGGGAUUUCUCAGCUUUGUAAAGAGGUGCUUUCCCUCACAGGGAGAUCGCGGUGAGCGCCGCUUCCCCCUUCCAGUUGUAGCAUUUGGCUCGUGGAAACAGAGAGCAGGGGGAGGAGGAGGAGGAGGGAGCUUCUGGAGCAGGAGGCCAAGCUCCGAGGAUGCUCCAAGGACCAAGCUCCAACCUGUGUCUCCAAGGGAGCCUGGAGGAAAGAGGGAAAGCAGGAGACGGGGCUUCAGAGAUGCUGCAUGGGGAGCAGCGUGGGGGGGAUGAGGCUCUCCUGGUGGCCACAGGCUGCAAGGAAAAUUGGGGGACACCACUGAACCCCUCAGCUGUGCCCUGACCCAUGCAGAGCCCACAGCCUCACCAUACCACAGGAGGGAUGGGAACAUCCCUACCUGAGCCACCUCCCCUUCACCCAGCAGGGAGCUGCUGCCCUGGCACGCGGUGACUGACUCGAAGCCACCGGGGUGAUGGUGGUGGCACUGGGAGCAGAGCCUGUGCUGGCCCUUUUCCAUCUUGGUAGCCAUCUGCAGCUCCUCGGGGACACGGGGAGCCAGGGAUGCAAGGGGCGAGGCACAGGGGCAGUGCUGUGGGGACAGAGCCCAGCUCCUACCCUGGCACUGCCUCCAGGGAAGGGAAUCGGAGUUGUCGGAGCCAACCUGCCUGCCGCCUCCUCCCCUCUCUGCAAAAUUUGGGAGGCAUUUCUCACCGGUGGAGGCUGCUGCAGCAGCAUGGGCCCUCAGGCUGGAUUGUGGUGGGUUCUCAGCUCCUCCUAACCCACAGCCCUGCUGCCUGAGCUGCAUCAAGGCUGUUCCUGCAGCUGGAAAGCAACCCUACCAAAACAAAGCAGCCCCGGCCCUGCUGGCUGCAGCAGCAGGGGACCUCCUGCCCCAUCCUGCCUCCUUUAUAGGUGGGCUUUGGGGCUUUCCUUCCCCUUCCUUUUUUUUCUUUUGCAGCUCUUGAAAAGCCGCCUGCAAGCAGCCAGACCUGCUGCAAGGCCGACCUGCAUCCGGAUUCGGGUAAAUAAAGCAGCGGGCGUGAGCGCUGCGGUAUGCCAGGAAUGCUGCAGCCCUUCCCCAGCGGCCGCUGCAGCCCCUGGGGAGCAGGAGCAGGGGGAGGCAGGGCAGGUACAACCCAGCUCAGGGCUUCCCAUCCCUCUGGGCCUCUCCAACCCGCCCCUAAAGGGAUGGAGGCUCCUAAAUUUUCAGCCAUGCUCCCCCACAGCCUUGGGCUCGAGGAGCCAAAGCUCCCCAGCGCGGCAUCUCCAAAGCCGCCGUGCUGAGCACAGCAGGGAGAGAGGCCGUGCAGCGGCUGCGCAUUGCAGCGGGAUGGAGACAUGCUCACAGGAGGAACACAGCGGAUAGGAAGGGUGGCUCGGAGCUCCUGUUCAGCACUGCCGUCCCACUGGUACCCACUGUGCUCAGAAGCCACCUUCCAGGGUGGGCCAUCAGUGUGACAGCUGCUAGAAACUAAGUUCAAGUGACUGCGGCCAACAAGAGCAUCAAGCCGGGGAGCAUCAUUUUGUGGCUGUGCAAGUCCUAAGGCAGCCCCAUCUCGACCACCAGAACUUCUGGCCUUCUAGAAAAAAAGCGUGGGGAGCCAGGCAGCACGGGAAGGGCUGAGAGGUGGCUGCUGAAGCCCUAGAAGAGCUUGGGGACCAGGAAGGGCUUGAAGACUUGGCAGCGAGGAAGUCACCAGGAGGAAGAGGAUGGUUGUGGGGCAUCACACGGCUGUGUCCUCCACCCCAACCUCCACUUCCCCGAGUGAGCACGGCAUCGCAUACGAAAAGAACACAGGGAGGGCCGAGAUGUGUGGGUUUUUAUUUAUUUUUUUAUUAAAAUAUUGUUAUACCAAGUGGAAUGCUACAGCAAUCUCGGUAUAGGGCGGCAUAACGAAACAGCCAGGUUUACGUUUAAAUACUUCAGAUAACUUAAAACGCACAAACAAGAACUCGUCGUCUUUGGCAGGAAAAAAAAAA